CUGGGGGUCUGUGCCGUGUCCAGAGCGUUCAUACGGGAGGGUGCAGCGCUGCAGUGUGCAGAAGUGUGGUGCACCCUUCAGGACGGAGAGAUGAGCAUUCACACAAAGCACGGAUGCGCAGACACAGUGACUCUGGACAGUCAGACACGCUGCCGUCAGUAUCACAUCCCACAUCAGAUCAUCAAACACUGUCAUAGGAAUGUCAAUGAAACAAAUAUGUCUUUUCUAUAGAUCUGCAGCGCUCAGAGAACUGCAUCCUGCUGGAGUUUCCUGAAAGGACGUUGCAUAUGCAGUUUGAGCUGGAGCACAGCUGUCUGCAGUGGCAUGAGCUCGUGCAGAAGGCCAUGUGCUCGAGCACAGAUGCACAGCAGCGCUCAGGAUCUGUGCCCUGCUCUGUAGACAGGUGCAUCUCUCACAUCACACAGUACGGGUUGAAGGUGGAAGGUUUGUAUCGGCGCUGUGGAGUCGCUCCUCAGAUCAGUAAGCUGGUCGAUGCUCUGAGCGUUUCUCCCAGAGGAACGCUUCUGGAAACAGACGAGCUCUCCAUCCUGGACAUUUCAGGAGCUCUGAAACAGAUCCUGCGGCAGAGCUUUGAGAUCAUACCGAACGCACACAGACCGCACUGGCUGAAAGCUGCAGGUACGUCUGUUCUCAGCCAUCAUUACUCUAUAAAA
rnacentral:lncRNA from 1 species